GGGGACUCUUUGACUUAUUUGCCUGAAGACAAUAAUGCAGGGUUGAGAUCCCCUUCUGGGGGCAGCAGGGCAGGCAGCAGGGUCGGAGACAUGGGGUGCAAUGAAGGGAUGCCUGUGCUGGCCCUGUUCUGCAGUACAAUGGACCGAUGUGCUCUCCACAUGUGCCUGAUAAGGCAGCUGGUGCCCAGGUCCUUCCUGUUUUUCCCUCUCCUGAACUCAUUCAUACAGUAGACACAGACAGCCUUAGAGCUAUCAAGGGUGACAAGUAGAAGUGCUUCCAGAUGGCCGACCUCCUCCUGGACCCAGAUGUGCUCUUGGGAAGGGAAAUGUUUCUGUCUGCUAUGGUUUCUGAAGUGUCAUCAUAAUGGAGCAGGGAGGGGUUGGGGGAGGAGCCUGCCAAAGCCUCUUCUCUGUUAUACUUUUCGGUGAUAGAUACAUCAGAGGACACCUCUUCAGAAGAGACUACAGUCACAGACUCUUCCACUAUUUGGUCAGGGGAUGGGAUCUUGGCAGCCAUUUUCUGGACAAGUCUGACAGGCUGGCUUCCUCACUUUCCCUAUCUUGAUGGGACCUUGACAGCACUCAGCUGCCACAGUAUCAAGAACUGGGCAUAGGCCUGGGGGAUUUAACAGAAGACACUCUGGUCAGUCAUGCUACGACAAUGUCAAAGCUUUACUGAGGUUCACAGUAUAUAUACACCAAGUCCACGGGUGGAAAAACCCUGGAAGCACAACGGAAAAACAAGUUUUUGUUCUCAGGAUAAAAACAGGAACUGACCCAACGGUGUUUACAGCUCAUUGGCCAAACAGAAAAGGCCAAGAUGUUCUGUUUUUAAAAACAAAAGUUUCAACAUGCAUCAGCAAGGCUCAGCAGGGGACAGACACUGAGGGAGCCCAGGAGGGUUCCACAGUGUAUAAGCGAGUGCUCCAAGAUCUCCAUGACACAGAACAACAACUGAAUAUCUGAGAGGAGUCCCAGUGAGGAUCCAGUAUUGAUAGUGUAGAUGAAGCCACAGAGCUCACUGCAGUGAACAUUUGCAAGCAAAUUGUGUGGACUAAUGGUAGGUAUAUUGUGUGACGAACUCUGACAUGGUACAGCUUCUACAAAGACAGUUCCUCUUCUUUUUGGGAAAAGUUUUAAGAACAGAGAAAAGAAAUGAAAAGAUGGGCAGAUGAGUGGGACUGCGGUGCAUGAUGUGAAGUUCAUAUAGUAAGAGGGAGCUCUGGGAUAUUUUCUUAGUCAUUGACUGAUGGGGGAGUGUCUAUCCCAAUGUGGGUUAUAAGAAAGCAGACUGAGCCAACCAUGAGCAACAAUCCAGUAAGAAACACACCUCCAUGGUCCCUGACCAUCUUCUUCUCCCUCUAUGUUUCUGUUUAAGUUUCUGCUCCCACUGACUUUGAUGAUGAACUGUUGUAGAAAACUAUGAAUGAAACAAAAUCUUUUCUACUCACUUUGCUAAAUAUGCAAUGUUUGUUUAAAUGUUUACUCAUAGUUCAAAGAGUAUAGGAUCCACAGUACAGAAAACAUCUAAAAUAGUCGAGAAGGAAACAAUGUCAGAAUGCUCUUUUUCCAUAGCUUGUAUAUGUCAGAACAACUCAAACAUAAAAAUAAAAGUACAGGCUCUUAGGUAUGGUUGGGCAGACACAAGAAUGGACAUCACAGGUGGAACAGAGCAAUCACAACAGUCUUAGGGAAAAACAGGCAGGGAGACUUCCAGUGGGCACAGGCAUGGUAUGAGGCAGUAACACCCAGCUUCACUUGUAUCUGCAGCCUCCUGCUGUCAUAGCUCGUCAGUAACAGCAGAUUGCUUAGUCCCCAGAAAUUUGUGCUUUGCUGAUCUGUUUGAUGUCUCUCUGUAUUGUCUGUUAGUACUCAUUUCUCUGGCAAUGCCAUAUGGAAUUCAGUGGGCCCAGAAAUGAGAGAUGUGAUCCUCCUUUUCUGUUUCCUUCUAAAAUGAUUUUUGAAAUUCUGUGAUAUGGAGAAAGUGUAUGAAGCAAUCAGCAUUCUGGAAAUACGUUCUCAAUGUAAUGUACAUUUACAAUACUGUCAGUCUCAGCGUUUUUAUUAUGUACACGAAUGGGAUAUUUUAGGCUGCAGUGACCUAUGAGGAUGUGCGUGUGAACUUCA
ensembl:lncRNA